rnacentral:lncRNA from 1 species
CCUACACGAGGUGCAGGAGUGGUUGGGCCUCCCUUCUCCACUUAAGCAAGCGCCCAGAGUGAUGGCGAUGGUGAUGGCAGCAGUUACUCGGGCAACCCCAUUUAAGCUGUGCUGCGGUAGGAGUUCAUCUGUUGUCUGCUCUCCAGUGACUUCCGUUUGUGGAGCCUAAGUGUUUCUACAGAAUCCAACUCGAGUAUCGCGGACUAUGAUCAGAAUGCUUUCAAGGAGUUUUUGGGCACAUGAUGGCAGAUACAUCCAGAAAGUGCCCAGAAGAAACUUUCUGCUGGAAAAAUUGAAAAAGCAGUAUUUAUAACAUUAGAAUUUGUGGAUAAUU